rfam:Chlorocebus sabaeus isolate 1994-021 chromosome 11, whole genome shotgun sequence.
GCCGGGCACGGUGGCCCACUCCUGUAAUCCCAGCACUUUGGGAGGCCGAGGCGGGCGGAUCACGAGGUCAGGAGAUCGAGACCAUCCUGGCUAACACGGUGAAACCCCCGUCUCUACUAAAAAUACACACACACACACACACACNNNNNNNNNNGUGUGUGUGUGUGUGUGUGUAUUUUUAGUAGAGACGGGGGUUUCACCGUGUUAGCCAGGAUGGUCUCGAUCUCCUGACCUCGUGAUCCACCCGCCUCGGC